CUCAGCUUCAUCAACCUCAUCCCCACCGCCGGAACUGCGAGAGAUCCGCUGCGCAGCCCUUUUCCGUUUCCGCCGAUUAGGCUGCACGACAUUCCCCUCCAUGUGACAAAAAACAAUAGAACCAAUUACUAAAAAAAUGAGCACAGGUGCAUAGCACAAAACAUGCUUCCUCAAAAAAGUCUUCCUAAAAACAAUAACAUCACCAAUUACCCCUCCUUUUGCUUCUACCGGUUUCUCCUUCUGCAUCCAUUUUCACCGCAAAAAUAGGUUAUGCACAAAGAGCCAAAACAUUCUGGUUGCACAUAUCAUUUCUUUGAAUUGCACACUAAAGAGCAUGUAGUUGCACACACUCACAAUGGCAAAAAAAAAGACAAAAAAUCAAAAUGAGCCAACUGCAUAUUGUUUUGGUGCAACUCACACAUAUACACAUGCCAACUGAAUACAACUCAAAUCGUGAUUAAAGCAGAAAAAAGGACAAAAACACCAGAAUCAACAAAGUGGAUAAAAACCGCAUCCAAAAGUGGAUCAACCACUGUCGCAAAAAAUGUGCGUACAUAGUCAAACAACUAGUUGCACAUAUCAGUCCUUUAAUUUGGCAAAACUGAAAUAAGCCUAUAGUUGCACAUACUCACAGGGACAAAAGGGAGAAAAAGAGGUGUGCCAACUACAUAUUAUUUUCGUGCAACUCAUAGAACUAGACAUGCCAACUGAAAAAACAUAUAAGUUGCACAUACUCACAGGGACAGAAGUGGGAAAAAGAGGUGCGCCAACUGCAUAUUAUUUUUGUGCAAAUCAUAGAACUACACAUGCCAACUGAAAAAAACCUAUAAGUUGCACAUACUCACAGGGACAAAAGGGGGGAAAAGAGGUGUGCCAACUACAUAUUAUUUUCGUGCAACUCAUAGAACUACACN
rnacentral:lncRNA from 1 species